rnacentral:rRNA from 1 species
CCCAGACUCCUACGGGAGGCAGCAGUGAGGAAUAUUGGUCAAUGGGCGAGAGCCUGAACCAGCCAAGUCGCGUGAGGGAAGACGGUCCUAUGGAUUGUAAACCUCUUUUGUCGGGGAGCAAGGCCCGCCACGUGUGGCGGGAAGGAGAGUACCCGAAGAAAAAGCAUCGGCUAACUCCGUGCCAGCAGCCGCGGUAAUACGGAGGAUGCGAGCGUUAUCCGGAUUUAUUGGGUUUAAAGGGUGCGUAGGCGGAAUGCCAAGUCAGCGGUAAAAUCGCGGGGCUCAACCUCGCUCCGCCGUUGAAACUGGCGUUCUUGAGUGGGCGAGAAGUAUGCGGAAUACGUGGUGUAGCGGUGAAAUGCAUGGAUAUCACGCAGAACUCCGAUUGCGAAGGCAGCAUACCGGCGCCCAACUGACGCUCAUGCACGAAAGCGUGGGUAUCGAACAGGAUUAGAUACCCUCGUA